rnacentral:rRNA from 1 species
CAGUCGAGCGAAUGGAUUGAGAGCUUGCUCUCAAGAAGUUAGCGGCGGACGGGUGAGUAACACGUGGGUAACCUGCCCAUAAGACUGGGAUAACUCCGGGAAACCGGGGCUAAUACCGGAUAACAUUUUGAACUGCAUGGUUCGAAAUUGAAAGGCGGCUUCGGCUGUCACUUAUGGAUGGACCCGCGUCGCAUUAGCUAGUUGGUGAGGUAACGGCUCACCAAGGCAACGAUGCGUAGCCGACCUGAGAGGGUGAUCGGCCACACUGGGACUGAGACACGGCCCAGACUCCUACGGGAGGCAGCAGUAGGGAAUCUUCCGCAAUGGACGAAAGUCUGACGGAGCAACGCCGCGUGAGUGAUGAAGGCUUUCGGGUCGUAAAACUCUGUUGUUAGGGAAGAACAAGUGCUAGUUGAAUAAGCUGGCACCUUGACGGUACCUAACCAGAAAGCCACGGCUAACUACGUGCCAGCAGCCGCGGUAAUACGUAGGUGGCAAGCGUUAUCCGGAAUUAUUGGGCGUAAAGCGCGCGCAGGUGGUUUCUUAAGUCUGAUGUGAAAGCCCACGGCUCAACCGUGGA